rnacentral:tRNA from 1 species
GGUCCCGUAGCUCAGCUGGAUAGAGCACCUGCCUUCUAAGCUGGUGGUCGUUGGUUCGAGUCCAACCGGGAUCA